GUGCCAGCCGCCGUGGUAAUACCGGCAGCUCAAGUGAUGUCCAAUAUUAUUGGGCCUAAAGCGUCCGUAGCUGGCCGACCAAGUCUCCCGGGAAAUCCACCCGCCCAACGGGUGGGCGUCCGGUAGAAACUGGCCGGCUUGGAACCGGAAGGCUCAGAGAGUACGUCCGGGGUAGGAGUGAAAUCCCGUAGUCCCGAACGGACCACCGAUGGCGAAAGCACUUCGAGAAAACGGAUCCGACAGUGAGGGACGAAAGCCAGGGUCUCCAACCGGAUUAGAAACCCGAGUAGUCC
rnacentral:rRNA from 1 species